GCUCUCGUGGCCCAGUUGGUUAGUGCGUCGUACUUAUAAUGCGAAGGUCGAGGGUCCGAUCCCCUCCGAGAGCA
rnacentral:tRNA from 1 species